UUCAUUGUUCCUCACAGACUGUAACAUUUUAUCAUGAAAGGGAUUAUUCUGAACUGCCUGAUUAUCGAACUCAAAUAGCAUUAUCUGAGGGUACUGUGACAUUUGAAAUUGAGCCUUCAGUAACUGGAAAAACAUGCUUAACAAGAAACAAGAUUUCUCACAUACGUGUUGGCUGUCCUCCCUGGAAAGAAAUAAUUGUAAAAAAGAAACCUUCAGAGUGUAAGAACUUUACUUUCACAAUACCUCGGCAGUAUCUCAGGGACAAAAGCCAUAAAGGAAACAAGG